AUGAAUUGCAUUGUGUGGAACUGUCGGGGUGCGGGGAACACCUCGACAGGUCGUGAUCUUGUGGCUCACACUCGAGCCCAUUCCCCGAGCAUGAUCUUUUUAUGUGAAACUAGGCAGAAUAUAGAAAAGAUGUAUCGUCUUCGCAAUAGAGUCGGUCUUCGUGGUUUUGAAGGAGUCAGUAGUGAUGGUAAUAGUGGUGGUCUAGCCUUGUUUUGGGAUGAGUCUUUGUACGUUGAUAUUCGUGAUUGCAAUAGAAGAUGGAUUGAUGCGUAUGUCCGGUUACCUGCUGAUGAUCAACUAUGGAGAAUCACCUUUGUGUAUGGGGAACCACGGGUGGAAAAUAGACACCUAAUGUGGGAAGGGCUAAAAAGAUUGAAAGCUCAGGAUGAUCUACCUUGGCUCUUGGCUGGGGACUUCAAUGAAGUUAUGUGGGACUAUGAGCAUUUGUCGGAUACACCAAGGUCACCUGGGCAAAUGAUAGCUUUCCGGACGUGCUUGAGGCCUGCAAUCUUUCAGAUCUUGGGUUCUCUGGUUACCCGUUUACUUAUGAUAAUAAGCGCAGCGAGCGGGCUAACGUGCAAGUAA
rnacentral:rRNA from 1 species